rnacentral:rRNA from 1 species
UACAGAGGUGGCAAGCGUUGCUCGGAAUUAUUGGGCGUAAAGGGUAGGUAGGUGGUCUCAUUUGUCUGGGGUGAAAGCCUUGAGCUUAACUCAAGAAGUGCCCCGGAAACGGUGAGACUAGAGUCUUGGAGAGGGUCGUGGAAUUCCCGGUGUAGCGGUGAAAUGCGUAGAGAUCGGGAGGAACACCAGAGGCGAAGGCGGCGACCUGGACAAGUACUGACACUCAACUACGAAAGCGUGGGGAGCAAACAGG